rnacentral:lncRNA from 1 species
GCCAAGUAAAACUUAUAGAAUUGAACCUGAGUUCAUAAAAUCGACCAAAAAAAAAAAACCCUUGCGUUUGAUAAAAAAUGAAAACAUAUAUAGAGUAUGUAAUAAUAGUAUCAAACAAAGAGAUUGAAGUUGUGAAAGGGGGAACUGGCGAUCGAUCUUAUACUUUGCCUCAAAUUAUGAGCGUCUUCCAUCUUUUUCAUCGAAGCAAUCAAUCGAAAGAAAAAGAUAUAUCAAUUCGAUCAAACUCGAACCAAUUUUGAUAUAUCAACCAGUAAUCCAUAUUGUUGAUCAAUAUUUUCUCUGAUUCUCAUCGAUCAUUAAUUUCCGAGCAUGUAGUCAGUUGAUAUAUGUUGUUAACUUCUCCUUCGACCUUUGAUCCUGAAUUGAAGAUGUGUAGUCAACGAAAAUGUGUUAAUUCCAAGCAAACAUGCACAUGUAUGUAUAUAUGUACGGAGCAUGAAGUAUAAAUAUGAAUGGUUUUUUCAAACACAUAUAUAUGUGCGACUAUGUAUGAUCAUAAAGAUUAGACGAAAACGAGAGGCAUACAAUGAGGAUCGGAUGAAGUGGUGAUGAUGAUCGAGUCGCCUGAGAAGGCUUAUAUAAGGACCAUUGCUCUCGCUCUCUCUGUCUCUC